GCUUGUCUCAAAGAUUAAGCCAUGCAUGUCUAAGUAUAAAUAUCUAUACUGUGAAACUGCGUAUGGCUCAUUAAAUCAGUUAUAGUUUAUUUGAUGAUACCCCACUACAUGGAUAACCGUAGUAAUUCUAGAGCUAAUACAUGCGUCAAAUCCCGACUUUUUGGAAGGGAUGUAUUUAUUAGAUUGAAACCAAUGCGGGUUCCCCGGUAUUUGGUGAUUCAUAAUAACUUUCGGAUCGACUUCGGUCGAUGCAUCAUUCAAGUUUCUGCCCUAUCAGCUUUGGAUGGUAGGGUAUUGGCCUACCAUGGCUUUAACGGGU
rnacentral:rRNA from 1 species